UACGUAGGGGGCAAGCGUUGUCCGGAAUCAUUGGGCGUAAAGAGCGUGUAGGCGGCCCGAUAAGUCCGCUGUGAAAGUCCAGGGCUCAACCCUGGAAUGCCGGUGGAUACUGUCGGGCUCGAAUCCGGAAGAGGUGAGUGGAAUUCCUGGUGUAGCGGUGAAAUGCGCAGAUAUCAGGAGGAACACCGGUGGCGAAGGCGCCACUCUGGGCCGGUACUGACGCUGAGGAGCGAAAGCGUGGGUAGCAAACAGG
rnacentral:rRNA from 1 species